rnacentral:lncRNA from 1 species
AUGAGUUUACGAAGUGAGUCACAAAGAACUCACAAGCUUAGAGGAGAUUCUCAGUUGAGAUUUCCGAAAGCAAAAGAAAAGAGACAGACACAUACAUUACAUUGGUACAUUUUUGAGAACCAGGAAAUGUACAAGUGCGGUUCCCCUGGCAACCUUUGUGUAGAGUGUGAGAGUCAGCGCAGCAGUUUCUCCUGUUUUCAUGCUGCAAUCAAGAACUUGAUUGUUUCGACAGCUUCCUGAUCUCCUUGAUGAUCCACACUGGGCCAUUUCUCUCAUCAUUCUCUCUUGUUCCCACUUGGUAAAGUAGGAUCAUUGUAAACUGUUUUUUAUUAUAUUAUCUGCAACAUCUCUUGUAGUUAGUCUCAAUUCAAGCUUUUCUUAUUAGAGUUUACUUAGACCAUUGUAAUAAUCUUCUAAGUGUUUUCUUUUUUUCCUUUUUCUCUUCUAAAGAUUUCUCAUCUCAACUUUUUUCAGAUUUUUAAAAAUGUAUAAUCAUUUCCUUUUCUCAUUGAAAAGUUUCAAUGGCUCUCAGUUAGCUAAAGGAUAUGCCAGUAAUAUACCAUACAAUGAAAUGUUACGUUGCAGUUAAAAAAGAUGAGAUAGAUCUCUCUGUACUUUCAUGAAAAAAUCUCUACGUAAAAAAGAGAGUGAACUAUAUGUAUAAUGAGAACCUAUUUUUAUGUUGAAACAAUUUAUAUCCAGUAUGUAUUUUACACCCAUUUGUAUAUGUAUGUAUAAAAGUGGUAGAAUACAUACCAAUUUACUCCUUCUUCAGUAGUGGGGAGGUGGUUUUCAGUGUCUUAUGCGUACUUUUGGGUUUUUAAAAAUCUUUUACGACAAGCUUUAUUACAGAAAUAUAAUUAAAGUUUAAAAGGAGAAUAAGACACAAACCCCUGGGCUUGAAAUUUAAGGCCCUUCAGUUCUGAGCCUGAGUUGUUUUAACUGUCUAUCCUAACCUCUCACUAUGCUUGGACAUCUUAUUCCCUAAUUAGAAAAUAUGUGGACCACAGCCUAGCAUUCCUCUUUGCCUCACUCACAGAAGCUAUGGCUAAUUGCUUGUGGGAGUUUUUCCUAUCGAGCCUGGAUAUAGCCAUAUAAUCUUUUAUAACUUCAGAUAUCUACUAAAAAUUGGUUAUGGGAGAUGGAAAGUUUGCUAACUCAGAUGUAUAAUCUGAUCAAAUUGAACUCUUCACUCUGUCCUGAACUCAUUCUUUUCUUUCUUAACUCAAGGCCUUUUCUU